ACCCGCUGAACUUAAGCAUAUCAAUAAGCGGAGGAAAAGAAACCAACAGGGAUUGCCCCAGUAACGGCGAGUGAAGCGGCAACAGCUCAAAUUUGAAAUCUGGUCCCCUUUGGGGGCCCGAGUUGUAAUUUGAAGAGGAUGCUUUUGGCGAGGCGCCGUCCGAGUUCCCUGGAACGGGACGCCGCAGAGGGUGAGAGCCCCGUACGGUCGGACGCCGAGCCUCUGUAAAGCUCCUUCGACGAGUCGAGUAGUUUGGGAAUGCUGCUCAAAAUGGGAGGUAAACCCCUUCUAAAGCUAAAUACCGGCCAGAGACCGAUAGCGCACAAGUAGAGUGAUCGAAAGAUGAAAAGCACUUUGAAAAGAGAGUUAAAAAGCACGUGAAAUUGUUAAAAGGGAAGCGCUUGCGACCAGACUUGCGCCCGUCGGAUCAACCGUCGCUUGCGGCGGCGCACUCCGGCGGGCUCAGGCCAGCAUCAGUUCGCUCGGGGGGAGAAAGGCGGCGGGAAUGUGGCUCUUCGGAGUGUUAUAGCCCGCCGUGUAAUACCCUCGGGUGGACUGAGGACCGCGCGUAUGCAAGGAUGCUGGCGUAAUGGUCGUCAGCGACCCGUCUUGAAACACGGACCAAGGAGUCGUCCUAAUAUGCGAGUGUACGGGUGUCAAACCCCUGCGCGUAAUGAAAGUGAACGGAGGUGAGAGCUUCGGCGCAUCAUCGACCGAUCCUGAUGUUCUCGGAUGGAUUUGAGUAAGAGCAUAUUGGGCCGGACCCGAAAGAAGGUGAACUAUGCCUGUGUAGGGUAAAGCCAGAGGAAACUCUGGUGGAGGCUCGCAGCGGUUCUGACGUGCAAAUCGAUCGUCAAACAUGGGCAUGGGGGCGAAAGACUAAUCGAACCUUCUAGUAGCUGGUUUYCCGCCGAAGUUUCUSC
rnacentral:sRNA from 1 species